AUAGAUAGGUGGGAGCACCAUUAUGUAGAGAUUUGAAAGCAAGAACCAGAAUUUUAAAUUAAGCCCUAUAUCGUACAGGAAGCCAAUGUAGGGACUGACAGAAAGGUGAGGCGUUGGAGGUGCAGGCAGACAGGAAGAUGAGCCUCGCCGCCGCAUUUAUUAUGGCGCAAGUUGGGAGCACGUAAGACCACUGAGCAGCCGAUUACAGUAGUCAAAGCCAGAAAGGGCAAUGGAAUGGACUAGCACCUUAGUCGCAUCUGGUGUUAACGUAGGGUCGGAU